AUGAACGCUAGCUACAGGCUUAACACAUGCAAGUCGAGGGGCAGCAUGGUCUUAGCUUGCUAAGGCCGAUGGCGACCGGCGCACGGGUGAGUAACACGUAUCCAACCUGCCGUCUACUCUUGGACAGCCUUCUGAAAGGAAGAUUAAUACAAGAUGGCAUCAUGAGUCCGCAUGUUCACAUGAUUAAAGGUAUUCCGGUAGACGAUGGGGAUGCGUUCCAUUAGAUAGUAGGCGGGGUAACGGCCCACCUAGUCUUCGAUGGAUAGGGGUUCUGAGAGGAAGGUCCCCCACAUUGGAACUGAGACACGGUCCAAACUCCUACGGGAGGCAGCAGUGAGGAAUAUUGGUCAAUGGGCGAGAGCCUGAACCAGCCAAGUAGCGUGAAGGAUGACUGCCCUAUGGGUUGUAAACUUCUUUUAUAAAGGAAUAAAGUCGGGUAUGGAUACCCGUUUGCAUGUACUUUAUGAAUAAGGAUCGGCUAACUCCGUGCCAGCAGCCGCGGUAAUACGGAGGAUCCGAGCGUUAUCCGGAUUUAUUGGGUUUAAAGGGAGCGUAGAUGGAUGUUUAAGUCAGUUGUGAAAGUUUGCGGCUCAACCGCAAAAUUGCAGUUGAUACUGGAUAUCUUGAGUGCAGUUGAGGCAGGCGGAAUUCGUGGUGUAGCGGUGAAAUGCUUAGAUAUCACGAAGAACUCCGAUUGCGAAGGCAGCCUGCUAAGCUGCAACUGACAUUGAGGCUCGAAAGUGUGGGUAUCAAACAGGAUUAGAUACCCUGGUAGUCCACACGGUAAACGAUGAAUACUCGCUGUUUGCGAUAUACAGCAAGCGGCCAAGCGAAAGCGUUAAGUAUUCCACCUGGGGAGUACGCCGGCAACGGUGAAACUCAAAGGAAUUGACGGGGGCCCGCACAAGCGGAGGAACAUGUGGUUUAAUUCGAUGAUACGCGAGGAACCUUACCCGGGCUUAAAUUGCAGAUGAAUUACGGUGAAAGCCGUAAGCCGCAAGGCAUCUGUGAAGGUGCUGCAUGGUUGUCGUCAGCUCGUGCCGUGAGGUGUCGGCUUAAGUGCCAUAACGAGCGCAACCCUUGUUGUCAGUUACUAACAGGUUCCGCUGAGGACUCUGACAAGACUGCCAUCGUAAGAUGUGAGGAAGGUGGGGAUGACGUCAAAUCAGCACGGCCCUUACGUCCGGGGCUACACACGUGUUACAAUGGGGGGUACAGAGGGCCGCUACCACGCGAGUGGAUGCCAAUCCCCAAAACCUCUCUCAGUUCGGACUGGAGUCUGCAACCCGACUCCACGAAGCUGGAUUCGCUAGUAAUCGCGCAUCAGCCACGGCGCGGUGAAUACGUUCCCGGGCCUUGUACACACCGCCCGUCAAGCCAUGGGAGCCGGGGGUACCUGAAGUGCGUAACCGCGAGGAGCGCCCUAGGGUAAAACUG
rnacentral:rRNA from 1 species